rnacentral:misc_RNA from 1 species
GAGCCUAGAAACCUGAACUGAUCAAAGCAGUGGACACUUGGAAACACACAGAAGCUUGGAGUGGCAAUUAUAGAGAGAGAGAGAGAAGGGUCACAUUCAAUAUUUUUAUAGUAUAAAACCCAAAAAUGCUGGAUUUCCCGUGAGUGCUGACAGGCCAAUAAAGCCAUAAACACCGCUAUCUUCAACGUUGUUUCACGCAUUUCCCUCUUCAUUUCCACUUCCAUAUUCAUCCAUCUAAAAGCUUACUUCAUCACUUUCCCCAACUCCUACGGAAUUUUUUCAUAUCUGGUGAUUUAAUCUUCAAGCCACCUUUUGCAUUUUUGAAGUGUGAUCCAUCAUCAUCGUCAUCAUCUUGUGGUUCUUGUGAGACUAUUGCAAUGGAUUGUUGCUGGGUGGCUUUAAAAGCCAAUACCCAUGUGGCGAAAGCUAGCAAAGAUGGUUUCAAGAGUGGAGAUAAGGAGUUUUGGGGUGAAAGGAUGAGGGGGAGUCUAAAUAACAGUGUUUGGUCCAAUCAGACGACAAGAAGCUUAAGAGCUAGAAGGAAUGUUAGUAAGGUUAAACCUGGUGUUGCUUAUGCUGUUUUAACAUCAAAUAAUCACAAGGAUGUUGUGGUAAGUUGUAAUUUGCAAUCUGUUUUUGUAGUUCUGACUGAACAUGAUCCAUUUUUUGGAUUUUAAUGAAUUGAAAUUUGUAUAAUUUAUGCUUUUGUUAAAUAUGAUCUCAUUCAUAAGUUUUGACCUUAGACCUUACAACCACCAAGUUCUGAGAGACGAAAAGUGGACCCAAAAAAUGUAGCAUCCAUCAUAUUGGGAGGAGGUGCAGGG